UACGAGAGGUCCGAGCGUUGCGCGGAAUCACUGGGGUUAAAGCGUACGUAGGCGGAAUGGACAGUGCUUUGUGAAAUCCCACAGCUCAACCGUGGAACUGCAGGGCAUACUACCAUUCUUGAGGUCGGUAGAGGUUGCCGGAACUGUAGGUGUAGCGGUGAAAUGCGUAGAUAUCUACAGGAACACCAAAGGCGAAGGCAGGCAACUGGGCCGAUUCUGACGCUCAGGUACGAAAGCGUGGGUAGCAAACAUG
rnacentral:rRNA from 1 species